CGAGGCGAACCGGGGAAACUGAAACAUCUCAGUACCCCGAGAAAAAGAAAUCAACCGAGAUUCCCCCAGUAGCGGCGAGCAAACGGGGAGCAGCCCAGAGUCAACAUCAAUAUUUACCACAGGAGAAGGGUCUGGAAAAGCCGGCAAUAAAGGGUGAUAGCCCCGUAUCUAAAGCGGUAAGUGUUGUGAACUCGAAGAGUAGGGCGGGACACGUGUUAUCCUGUCUGAAUAUGGGGGGACCAUCCUCCAAGGCUAAAUACUCCUGACUGACCGAUAGUGAACCAGUACCGUGAGGGAAAGGCGAAAAGAACCCCGGCGAGGGGAGUGAAAUAGAACCUAAAACCGUGUACGUACAAGCAGUAGGAGCACCCGAAAGGGUGUGACUGCGUACCUUUUGUAUAAUGAGUCAGCGACUUAUAUUCUGUAGCAAGGUUAACCGCAUAGGGGAGCCGUAGGGAAACCGAGUCUUAACUGGGCGUUAAGUUGCAGGGUAUAGACCCGAAACCCGGUGAUCUAGCCACAAGCAGGUUGAAG
rnacentral:rRNA from 1 species